ACUGAACGCUGGCGGAAUGCUUUACACAUGCAAGUCGAACGGCAGCACGGACUUCGGUCUGGUGGCGAGUGGCGAACGGGUGAGUAAUACAUCGGAACGUGCCCAAUCGUGGGGGAUAACGUAGCGAAAGCUACGCUAAUACCGCAUACGAUCUAAGGAUGAAAGCGGGGGAUCGCAAGACCUCGCGCGAUUGGAGCGGCCGAUGGCAGAUUAGGUAGUUGGUAGGGUAAAGGCCUACCAGGCCGACGAUCUGUAGCUGGUCUGAGAGGAUGAUCAGCCACACUGGGACUGAGACACGGCCCAGACUCCUACGGGAGGCAGCAGUGGGGAAUUUUGGACAAUGGACGCAAGUCUGAUCCAGCCAUUCCGCGUGCAGGAUGAAGGCCCUCGGGCUGUAAACUGCUUUUGUACAGAACGAAAAGGCUCUGGUUAAUACCUAGGGCUCAUGACGGUACUGUAAGAAUAAGCACCGGUUAACUACGUGCCAGCCGCCGCGGUAA
rnacentral:rRNA from 1 species